AUACAGUGAGUGAAAGAGUAUCAGCCAAUUUCAGAAUUGCUGGGAUUGAAAGAAGCAAUUUGGUAGUCCCACAAGUUUUAAUGAUAACUUUGUAAGGGUACACAAAGAGACUAGAUUCUGAAAGAACAUAGGAAUCAAUGUGAUCAUUUGAAAGCGAAUCAACAAUGGUGCAUUCAGCUGGUUUGAGAAUCUCAUCUAAUUGAGAUUUGGACAGAGAGCGGAGGCCCAUCCCUCCAGGAUCAGCAAAGAAGCUAGGCUCAGAAAAGGACAAUUCAAGCCUCUUUUCAUAGCCUUCAAAUCCAAUAGCAGAUACAGGCAAGGCCAUCUUGCCUCAAAGGAAAAAAAUAACACUUCUAACGAACAAGUACGAAGGAACGAGCGAAUCAGAAAAGAAAUGCAGACUAAAGACAAUGGCAAAAUAAGAGAGAGCUACUAGGGGCUAAGUCAACAAUUAGAAGAUCUCAGGAUGGCUUUCGCACGCAGUUAGAGUAAGCAGCAGUUCGGAACUUCUUGAUUCCACCAUGGGGCCGAACGUCUUCAAUGCUGUAACCAAGAGGAGCUUCAUAGAAUAAGGAUUUACUACUGCUAGACUUCUUCUUGCCACCUUUGGACUCCAUUAGAUCAUUCAGUCUUUGCCUGUCAGAACACCAAGUACAGCAAUCAGCAUGAGAUACAAUAUUGCACAUAGGCAGUAGAGGAGACUCUUCUAUGACCAUCGAACUAAUACAGUAACAAUGCUGUUUUGAAAGCAAUACCUAUUAAUUUGAAAUAGCUAGAAACGAAACAAGGCAAAAAUUUAAAGCAAGUGCAUAGCUCAAUCAUACAAAUGAAAGGAGGUCUUUCUGAUAAGAGCAGUGUAAAAAGAAAGUUUUUAUCCAAACUACAAAGGCCAAGGAUUACAGGAACAAAAUAAAUAAAAAGAAACUGCUUAACUACAUUAAAAAAAUAUAUCUUAGGUUUACUUCCGUUUCAUUUUUUUAAAUGAUACCAAGAAAAAAAAAAAGAUAUCAAUCACCUAUAUCAUGAUUAGUUAAAAGGGUUUUGGAAACAAAGAAAAACAAAUCCAUGAAAAAUUACAAAGACUAAGGGGUUUGUAGGAAUGUAGGAUGGCUGUUCAACAGAUUCACCACAAGGACUCGUUACCAUCACAAAGACCAAUUAACUAAAGAAAAAAAAGAAUAGAAUAUGAAUUUAGAACUCUAAACAUUAGCUUCUAUUAAAAAGAAUGAAUUGGUGUUAAAUCCCACAUCGGUUGAGUAUUAGAGAAAAAUAUUUCAUAUUUGUUCGUGGAGUUAGGCCUGUCAAUUUUAUCAUGUUACUCGAAAAAAACAAACCAUACAUUCAUCGUAAUUAAUCCUUACAAUAAAAAAGAUAAAAUAAACAAUUAAUCCAAACAACAAUUACGUAUGGAAAUACAAAUAAAUACAUGAAAACCAGCAAUAAAACACGUACCAAUAUGAAAAUAUUCCAAUCUGAAAACCCUAGCUCUUCUAAAAACCUUUCUUUUGUGAAUCUCCAAUGAAAUCAAACCCGAUUGAAAAACAGGAAAACAGAGCGAUGAAGAUACCGAUAUUCUAACAGCUAGAGGCAAAAUCAAUCCCUAUAAACUCGAGGAAUAGAAGAGAGAAUCGUAUAAGAUAUCAGCUGGCUUUUGUGAUUAUCGAAGGGUCUCCUUUCUGGUGACUUGUGAGGUGGUCUCGAGAUGACUCUGGAGGGUGAUUUAUAUAGGGGAUGAAAGUGCGCGCAGAAGAAGCUGUUAAAUUGCCCUGGAUUAUGUAGAUAAUUACAGUCGCACCCCUGCUAUUAACGGUAGUUUUUUUUUUUCCUCAAAUAAUAAUUAGUUGCUGAGCGCGUAUUUGGAAUGACAAAACUGCCCUUAAUGCAUUGGCGCCAGGAUACAAUUAUGAAAGCGACAUGAGGGUAGUUUGGACAUUUUGGUGAUCGCCACCACUCAUUCUUGUCUUGUAAUUUUAUUACGCCGCCGGAUUCGGAAGGGCCAAUUAAUGUGAAAU
rnacentral:misc_RNA from 1 species